AUAAUGGGUCAGCGACUUAUAUUCUGUAGCAAGGUUAACCGAAUAGGGGAGCCGAAGGGAAACCGAGUCUUAACUGGGCGUUAAGUUGCAGGGUAUAGACCCGAAACCCGGUGAUCUAGCCAUGGGCAGGUUGAAGGUUGGGUAACACUAACUGGAGGACCGAACCGACUAAUGUUGAAAAAUUAGCGGAUGACUUGUGGCUGGGGGUGAAAGGCCAAUCAAACCGGGAGAUAGCUGGUUCUCCCCGAAAGCUAUUUAGGUAGCGCCUCGUGAAUUCAUCUCCGGGGGUAGAGCACUGUUUCGGCAAGGGGGUCAUCCCGACUUACCAACCCGAUGCAAACUGCGAAUACCGGAGAAUGUUAUCACGGGAGACACACGGCGGGUGCUAACGUCCGUCGUGAAGAGGGAAACAACCCAGACCGCCAGCUAAGGUCCCAAAGUCAUGGUUAAGUGGGAAACGAUGUGGGAAGGCCCAGACAGCCAGGAUGUUGGCUUAGAAGCAGCCAUCAUUUAAAGAAAGCGUAAUAGCUCACUGGUCGAGUCGGCCUGCGCGGAAGAUGUAACGGGGCUAAACCAUGCACCGAAGCUGCGGCAGCGACACUAUGUGUUGUUGGGUAGGGGAGCGUUCUGUAAGCCUGUGAAGGUGGCCUGUGAGGGUUGCUGGAGGUAUCAGAAGUGCGAAUGCUGACAUAAGUAACGAUAAAGCGGGUGAAAAGCCCGCUCGCCGGAAGACCAAGGGUUCCUGUCCAACGUUAAUCGGGGCAGGGUGAGUCGACCCCUAAGGCGAGGCCGAAAGGCGUAGUCGAUGGGAAACAGGUUAAUAUUCCUGUACUUGGUGUUACUGCGAAGGGGGGACGGAGAAGGCUAUGUUGGCCGGGCGACGGUUGUCCCGGUUUAAGCGUGUAGGCUGGUUUUCCAGGCAAAUCCGGAAAACCAAGGCUGAGGCGUGAUGACGAGGCACUACGGUGCUGAAGCGACAAAUGCCCUGCUUCCAGGAAAAGCCUCUAAGCAUCAGGUAACAUCAAAUCGUACCCCAAACCGACACAGGUGGUCAGGUAGAGAAUACCAAGGCGCUUGAGAGAACUCGGGUGAAGGAACUAGGCAAAAUGGUGCCGUAACUUCGGGAGAAGGCACGCUGAUAUGUAGGUGAAGCGACUUGCUCGUGGAGCUGAAAUCAGUCGAAGAUACCAGCUGGCUGCAACUGUUUAUUAAAAACACAGCACUGUGCAAACACGAAAGUGGACGUAUACGGUGUGACGCCUGCCCGGUGCCGGAAGGUUAAUUGAUGGGGUUAGCGGCAACGCGAAGCUCUUGAUCGAAGCCCCGGUAAACGGCGGCCGUAACUAUAACGGUCCUAAGGUAGCGAAAUUCCUUGUCGGGUAAGUUCCGACCUGCACGAAUGGCGUAAUGAUGGCCAGGCUGUCUCCACCCGAGACUCAGUGAAAUUGAACUCGCUGUGAAGAUGCAGUGUACCCGCGGCAAGACGGAAAGACCCCGUGAACCUUUACUAUAGCUUGACACUGAACAUUGAGCCUUGAUGUGUAGGAUAGGUGGGAGGCUUUGAAGUGUGGACGCCAGUCUGCAUGGAGCCGACCUUGAAAUACCACCCUUUAAUGUUUGAUGUUCUAACGUUGGCCCGUAAUCCGGGUUGCGGACAGUGUCUGGUGGGUAGUUUGACUGGGGCGGUCUCCUCCUAAAGAGUAACGGAGGAGCACGAAGGUUGGCUAAUCCUGGUCGGACAUCAGGAGGUUAGUGCAAUGGCAUAAGCCAGCUUGACUGCGAGCGUGACGGCGCGAGCAGGUGCGAAAGCAGGUCAUAGUGAUCCGGUGGUUCUGAAUGGAAGGGCCAUCGCUCAACGGAUAAAAGGUACUCCGGGGAUAACAGGCUGAUACCGCCCAAGAGUUCAUAUCGACGGCGGUGUUUGGCACCUCGAUGUCGGCUCAUCACAUCCUGGGGCUGAAGUAGGUCCCAAGGGUAUGGCUGUUCGCCAUUUAAAGUGGUACGCGAGCUGGGUUUAGAACGUCGUGAGACAGUUCGGUCCCUAUCUGCCGUGGGCGCUGGAGAACUGAGGGGGGCUGCUCCUAGUACGAGAGGACCGGAGUGGACGCAUCACUGGUGUUCGGGUUGUCAUGCCAAUGGCACUGCCCGGUAGCUAAAUGCGGAAGAGAUAAGUGCUGAAAGCAUCUAAGCACGAAACUUGCCCCGAGAUGAGUUCUCCCUGAGACUUAGAGUCUCCUGAAGGAACGUUGAAGACGACGACGUUGAUAGGCCGGGUGUGUAAGCGCAGCGAUGCGUUGAGCUAACCGGUACUAAUGAACCGUGAGGCUUAACCUUACAACGCCGAAG
rnacentral:rRNA from 1 species